rnacentral:rRNA from 1 species
GACGAACGCUGGCGGCGUGCCUAAUACAUGCAAGUCGAACGCAGUGGGGACGGGUGAUUAACACGUGGGUAACCUCCCAUCAGAGGGGAUAACACUUGGAAACAGGUGCUAAACCGAUACUGAUUGAUGGACCCGCGGUGCAUUAGGUAGUUGGGGGGGUAACGGCCCACAAAGGCCACGAUGCAUAGCGGGCCGGAGAGGUGGAUCGGCCACACUGGAACGGAGACACGGUCCAGACUCCUACGGGAGGCAGCAGUAGGGAAUAUUGGGCAAUGGACGAAAGGCUGACCGAGCAACGCCGCGUGAGUGAAGAAGGUUUUCGGGUCGUAAAACUCUGUUGUUAGAGAAGCGGUAUCUAACCAGAAAGCAACGGCUAACUACGUGCCAGCCGCCGCGGUAAUAC